AUUGAACGCUGGCGGCAUGCCUUACACAUGCAAGUCGAACGGCAGCGGGGGAGAAGCUUGCUUUUCCUGCCGGCGAGUGGCGAACGGGUGAGUAAUACAUCGGAACGUGCCCUGUAGUGGGGGAUAACUAGUCGAAAGAUUAGCUAAUACCGCAUACGACCUGAGGGUGAAAGUGGGGGACCGCAAGGCCUCAUGCUAUAGGAGCGGCCGAUGUCUGAUUAGCUAGGUGGUGGGGUAAAGGCCUACCAAGGCGACGAUCAGUAGCUGGUCUGAGAGGACGAUCAGCAACACUGGGACUGAGACACGGCCCAGACUCCUACGGGAGGCAGCAGUGGGGAAUUUUGGACAAUGGGCGAAAGCCUGAUCCAGCAAUGCCGCGUGUGUGAAGAAGGCCUUCGGGUUGUAAAGCACUUUUGUCCGGAAAGAAAUGGCUCUGGUUAAUACCUGGGGUCGAUGACGGUACCGGAAGAAUAAGGACCGGCUAACUACGUGCCAGCCGCCGCGGUAA
rnacentral:rRNA from 1 species